rnacentral:rRNA from 1 species
CCAGACUCCUACGGGAGGCAGCAGUGAGGAAUAUUGGUCAAUGGGCUUACGCCUGAACCAGCCAAGUCGCGUGAGGGAAGACUGCCCUAUGGGUUGUAAACCUCUUUUGUCAGGGAGCAACGCCGGCUACGUGUAGCCGGACUGAGAGUACCUGAAGAAAAAGCAUCGGCUAACUCCGUGCCAGCAGCCGCGGUAAUACGGAGGAUGCGAGCGUUAUCCGGAUUUAUUGGGUUUAAAGGGAGCGUAGAUGGGUUGUUAAGUCAGUUGUGAAAGUGUGCGGCUCAACCGUAAAAUUGCAAUUGAUACUGGCAGUCUUGAGUACAGUUGAGGUAAGCGGAAUUCGUGGUGUAGCGGUGAAAUGCUUAGAUAUCGCGCAGAACUCCGAUUGCGAAGGCAGCAUGCCGGUUCCACACUGACGCUGAGGCACGAAAGCGUGGGUAUCGAACAGGAUUAGAUACCCCAGUAA